GAUGAACGCUGGCGGCAGGCUUAACGCAUGCAAGUCGAACGGAAAGUUCCUUCCUUUUGGUUGUGCUCGGGGUGCGGACGGGUGAGUAAUAUGUGAGUUACCUUUCUUUGACGUUUGGCUUAUCUCAAGAAACUUUGGUUAAUACCAGUUUGUUAUUCCGGCUCGAUUGAUGUUGUUGGAUACUUUGGGUGGUUGUGGAUGGGCUCGCGGUUUAUCAGUUGGUUGGUGGGGUAGUGGCUUACCAAGGCUUUUUUGGGUGGCCGGCCUGAGAGGGUGACCGGCAAAAUUGGGACUGAGAUACGGCAGGGACUACUACGGGAGACAGCAGUAGGGAAUAUUGCCCGAUGGGCGGAAGCCUGAUGCAGCAACGCGGCGUGCGGGAUGACGGACUGCUGUUAGCAAACGGCAAUCGCCUGUACCGAAGAGUGAGUGACGGUAAUGGGUAAAGAAGCACCGGCUAACUACGUG
rnacentral:rRNA from 1 species